AUUGAACGCUGGCGGCAUGCCUUACACAUGCAAGUCGAACGGUAACAGGUCUUCGGAUGCUGACGAGUGGCGAACGGGUGAGUAAUGCAUCGGAACGUGCCCAGUAGUGGGGGAUAGCCCGGCGAAAGCCGGAUUAAUACCGCAUACGACCUGAGGGUGCAAGGGGGGGAUCGCAAGACCUCUCGCUAUUGGAGAGGCCGAUGUCAGAUUAGCUAGUUGGUGGGGUAAAGGUCUACCAGGGCAACGAUCUGUAGUUGGUCUGAGAGGACGACCAGCCACACUGGGACUGAGACACGGCCCAGACUCCUACGGGAGGCAGCAGUGGGGAAUUUUGGACAAUGGGCGCAAGCCUGAUCCAGCAAUGCCGCGUGAAGGAAGAAGGCCUUCGGGUUGUAAACUGCUUUUGUCAGGGAAGAAAUCUUCUGGGUUAAUACCUCGGGAGGAUGACGGUACCUGAAGAAUAAGCACCGGCUAACUACGUGCCAGCCGCCGCCGUAAUAC
rnacentral:rRNA from 1 species